rnacentral:rRNA from 1 species
UACGGGGGGGGCAAGCGUUGUUCGGAAUUAUUGGGAGUAAAGGGUUCGUAGGCGGCUAAUUAAGUUGGACGUGAAAUCCCCAGGCUUAACCUGGGAACUGCGUCGGAUACUGGAUGGCUUGAAUUCGGGAGAGGGAUGCAGAAUUCCAGGUGUAGCGGUGAAAUGCGUAGAUAUCUGGAGGAAUACCGGUGGCGAAGGCGGCAUCCUGGACCGACAUUGACGCUGAUGAGCGAAAGCGUGGGGAGCGAACAGG